UACGUAGGGCGCAAGCGUUGUCCGGAAUUAUUGGGCGUAAAGGGCUCGUAGGCGGUUCGUCGCGUCGGCUGUGAAAUCCCGAGGCUCAACCUCGGGUCUGCAGUCGAUACGGGCGGACUGGAGUACUGCAGGGGAGACUGGAAUUCCUGGUGUAGCGGUGAAAUGCGCAGAUAUCAGGAGGAACACCGGUGGCGAAGGCGGGUCUCUGGGCCGUAACUGACGCUGAGGAGCGAAAGCGUGGGGAGCGAACAGG
rnacentral:rRNA from 1 species